UAGGGAAUAUUGCACAAUGGGCGAAAGCCUGAUGCAGCGACGCCGCGUGAGUGAUGAAGGCCUUCGGGUCGUAAAGCUCUGUUGUACGGGAAGAAAUGCGUAUGGCUAAUAUCCAUACGAGUUGACGGUACCGUAUCAGAAAGGACCGGCUAACUUCGUGCCAGCAGCCGCGGUAAGACGAGGGGUCCUAGCGUUGUUCGGAAUCACUGGGCGUAAAGCGUAUGUAGGCGGGCUUUUAAGUCAGGUGUGAAAUCCCAUGGCUCAACCACGGAAUUGCAUUUGAAACUGGAAGUCUUGAAUGUGGGAGAGAUUGGUAGAAUACCUAGUGUAGUGGUGAAAUACGUAGAUAUUAGGUGGAAUACCGGUGGCGAAGGCGGCCAAUUGGCCCAACAUUGACGCUGAGAUACGAAAGCGUGGGGAUCAAACAG
rnacentral:rRNA from 1 species